UACGUAGGGUGCAAGCGUUGUCCGGAAUUAUUGGGCGUAAAGAGCUCGUAGGCGGUCUGUCGCGUCUGCUGUGAAAACUCAGGGCUUAACCCUGAGCUUGCAGUGGGUACGGGCAGACUAGAGUGCGGUAGGGGAGACUGGAAUUCCUGGUGUAGCGGUGAAAUGCGCAGAUAUCAGGAGGAACACCGGUGGCGAAGGCGGCUCACUGGCCCGGUACUGACGCU
rnacentral:rRNA from 1 species